rnacentral:rRNA from 1 species
GUGAGGAAUAUUGGUCAAUGGGCGAGAGCCUGAACCAGCCAAGUCGCGUGAAGGAUGAAGGAUCUAUGGUUCGUAAACUUCUUUUAUAUGGGAAUAAAGUGCAGGACGUGUCCUGUUUUGUAUGUACCGUAUGAAUAAGGAUCGGCUAACUCCGUGCCAGCAGCCGCGGUAAUACGGAGGAUCCGAGCGUUAUCCGGAUUUAUUGGGUUUAAAGGGUGCGUAGGUGGCUUUUUAAGUCAGCGGUGAAAGUUUGUGGCUCAACCAUAAAAUUGCCGUUGAAACUGGGGGGCUUGAGUAUAUUUGAGGUAGGCGGAAUGCGUGGUGUAGCGGUGAAAUGCAUAGAUAUCACGCAGAACUCCAAUUGCGAAGGCAGCUUACUAAACUAUAACUGACACUGAAGCACGAAAGCGUGGGGAUCAAACAGGAUUAGAAACCCCAGUAGUCC